rnacentral:rRNA from 1 species
UACGAAGGGGGCUAGCGUUGCUCGGAAUUACUGGGCGUAAAGCGCACGUAGGCGGUCUUUUAAGUCGGGGGUGAAAUCCUGGAGCUCAACUCCAGAACUGCCUUCGAUACUGGAAGACUUGAGUCCGGGAGAGGUGAGUGGAACUGCGAGUGUAGAGGUGAAAUUCGUAGAUAUUCGCAAGAACACCAGUGGCGAAGGCAGCUCACUGGCCCGGUACUGACGCUGAGGUGCGAAAGCGUGGGGAGCAAACAGG